rnacentral:lncRNA from 1 species
CCCGAGCCCGAGCCGGAGGAGAAGGAUAAGCCCUGGUGGGAGCAGCCUGACCCUGAGCCGGCGCCAGCUGAUGAGGAGCCGGCGGCCGCGGAUGAGCCGGAGGCAGAGCCGGGGCCGGCUCCGCAGGAGGAGGGGGAGGAGGAGCCGGCAGCAAAGGAGAAGCCUUGGUGGGAGCAGCCUGACCCUGAGCUGGCGGCGGCUGAGGAUGAGCCGGCGGCCGCGGCUGAGCCGGAGGCAGAGCCGGAGCCGGCGCAUAAGGAGGAGGAGGAGGAGGAGGAGGAGCCGAAGGAGAAGCCUUGGUGGGAGCAGCCUGACCCUGAGCCGGCGGCGGCUGAGGAUGAGCCGGAGCCUGCGGCUGAGCCGGAGGCAGAGCCGGAGCCGGCGGCAAAAGAGAAGCCCUGGUGGGAGCAGCCUGACCCUGAGAAGGCAGCAGCUGAUGAGGAGCCGGCGGCCGCGGCUGAGCCGGAGGCAGAGCCGGAGCCGGCGCCCAAGGAGGAGGACGAGCCGGCGGCAAAGGAGAAGCCUUGGUGGGAGCAGCCUGACCCUGAGCCGGCGGCGGCUGAUGAGGAGCCGGCGGCCGCGGAUGAGCCGGAGGCAGAGCCGGGGCCGGCUCCGCAGGAGGAGGGGGAGGAGGAGCCGGCAGCAAAGGAGAAGCCUUGGUGGGAGCAGCCUGACCCUGAGCUGGCGGCGGCUGAGGAUGAGCCGGCGGCCGCGGCUGAGCCGGAGGCAGAGCCGGAGCCGGCGCAUAAGGAGGAGGAGGAGGAGG